AGAUUGAACGCUAGCGGGAUGCCUUACACAUGCAAGUCGAACGGCAGCACGGACUUCGGUCUGGUGGCGAGUGGCGAACGGGUGAGUAAUGUAUCGGAACGUGCCUAGUAGCGGGGGAUAACUACGCGAAAGCGUAGCUAAUACCGCAUACGCCCUACGGGGGAAAGCAGGGGAUCGCAAGACCUUGCACUAUUAGAGCGGCCGAUAUCGGAUUAGCUAGUUGGUGGGGUAACGGCUCACCAAGGCGACGAUCCGUAGCUGGUUUGAGAGGACGACCAGCCACACUGGGACUGAGACACGGCCCAGACUCCUACGGGAGGCAGCAGUGGGGAAUUUUGGACAAUGGGGGAAACCCUGAUCCAGCCAUCCCGCGUGUGCGAUGAAGGCCUUCGGGUUGUAAAGCACUUUUGGCAGGAAAGAAACGUUCCGGGUUAAUACCCCGGGAAACUGACGGUACCUGCAGAAUAAGCACCGGCUAACUACGUGCCAGCAGCCGCGGUAAUACGUAGGGUGCAAGCG
rnacentral:rRNA from 1 species